rnacentral:tRNA from 1 species
GCCUUCGUGGUGUAGUGGUCAGCAUGCUCGACAUGUAUUCGAGAGGCCCGUGGUUAAAAUCCCGACGAGAGCA